rnacentral:misc_RNA from 1 species
UCUUUAAUUUUCCUCAAAAUUAAAAUGGCAGCUCUUCACUUUUCACUUCGGUGAGAAUUGUCCGACCGCAAAACCCUUGCGAUAGUGAACCUUAGAAUAUUCAGAACCAACACCUAUCCAUUGAAGAGCGGCUCCUAACGAAGGGUCUGAUGAAAUCAUUUUCUCACACUCCCCAUUUUGGCUGUAAGUUCAUGGGUUACCACCCAACCAAGUCACUAUAGAUAAUGCCCAGGUCAUUGGUAAAUCCAUUGGAGAAUUCAUUAACACAGAAUGGUCUGAUUGGGUACCAUGCAAUUCUAAGAAUCAAAGUUAAGCUUCCACUUUAUCAACCAUUUCUUACUGGCUUUCACAACCAAAAAGAAUAUGGGACUUUGCAAUGGAUAAAUUUUAAGAUAGAAAGGCUUUCGAAUAUUUGUUAUUCAUGUGGCAUGUUGAGACUUAUCAACAAAAACUGCACUCUCUCCACCUAGACCAAUUAACGAGAAGGCACUGUCUCUACAGAAGGGAAAUUUAGCCCAUGGCAUCGAGCUUUGCAGAUUAAUCAUAAAUCCAACCAAAACUAGUUUACCUCAUCUAACAACACUUCUGUGGUUAUAGCUUUACUAACCACAGAUCAACCCAAACAGAACAUACGAUCCUUUGAGGGCUCUUCAGCCCUAACAUCCUCCUCCCAAAUUGCAAAAGCCAUAAUCCACAUGAUUGAACCACCACCACUACCCACUUCAGAAAGCCCCUCUCUUUGAAAUCAAAAUCAUUACCCACCUUCCACCCAACCUAUUGAACUAGAAUUAAUCCUGGCAUCUUGUAAUGUAGUUUCAGAGGAAUUUACCUCGAAUAGGAAAUCAAAGAUGAUCCCUUCGCCCAUACUGCCAGCUUUCCUCUUUGGAGUCUUCUUGAGUAGUGCGCAAGCAGGAGACUUGAGAAUUGAUGCUGCUAUCGUUGAACUCUUCCAUGCAUUGGCAGGAUUAUCUUUCCUUUCAUGGAAAUCACCACGUUAAUACUUCGGCUCAUCUUGAGGAGUUUCCUCACUUAACCUUCCUUUUUCAAACUAGGGCAUUUAUUGAUUCGC